rnacentral:rRNA from 1 species
CCUACGGGUGACAGCAGUGGGGAAUAUUGCGCAAUGGGGGCAAGCCUGACGCAGCAACGCCGCGUGAUUGAAGAAGGCCUUCGGUUUGUAAAGCUCUUUAAUCGGGGACGAAUUUUGACGGUACCCGCAGCAUAAGCUCCGGCUAACUACGUGCCAGAAGCCGCGGUAAUACGUAGGGAGCAAGCGUUAUCCGGAUUUACUGGGGGUAAAGGGAGUGGAGGGGGGCAUGCAAGCCAGAAGUGAAAUCUGGGGGCUUAACCCCCAAACUGCUUUUGAAACUGUCGGUCUUGAGUAUCGGAGAGGCAUGCGGAAUUCCUAGUGUAGCGGUGAAAUGCGUAGAUAUUAGGAGGAACACCAGUGGCGAAGGCGGCCUGCUGGACGACAACUGACGGUGAGGCGCGAAAGCGUGGGGAGCAAACAGGAUUAGAUACCCUGGUAGUC